GGUAAGAUUUUACUUCUCUACUUUCAUUGAGUUGGCACGAGGUAGGGUAGAUAGCAGGCACUCGAUUUCUGACUUCGAAUCGGAAAACAUCUGUUUUUCUGGGCAAGGAUAUCAGCAGAUUGCUCCUAGGGACAAUCAAAAAAGAAGAGACCUCCAACGCUUCUCCCCAGGAGCGGAUAGGGCCCUGGUUAUUUGCUCGCAAGUGAAAAUUGCCCUGGCAUACCCAUUCAAAUUUCUCCUAGCAAAUCAUAGUGGCCUACACCCAACGCCCUCUUCGCUCACUGGCCAACUGGAAACUUCAGUCCCUCCAUGCCUCCCGCCUCUCACCCAGAGGCCAAUAGGAAAGAUCAGAGGUUCGCAACUUAGUGUCAUCAAGCAUAGUAAUUGCAAUUGGCUACUGGAACUGUCGAUCGCGGAGUAGGCGGAGCCAUGCCAGCUGGCCUAUAUAAGACGAGGACAAAGGCGGCGCGCCGCCUGUGUCAUCCGCCAUUUUGUGAGGAGCAAGGUGGCCUCCACGUUUCCUGAGCGUCUUCUUCGCUUCUGCCUCGACCGCCCCUUGACCACGGACAUGUCUCGGGAUCGGUUCCGGAGUCGUGGCGGUGGUGGUGGUGGCUUCCACAGGCGCGGAGGAGGCGGCGGCCGCGGCGGCCUCCACGACUUCCGUUCUCCGCCGCCCGGCAUGGGCCUCAAUCAGAAUCGCGGCCCCAUGGGUCCUGGCCCGGGCCAGAGCGGCCCUAAGCCUCCGAUCCCGCCACCGCCUCCACACCAACAGCAGCAACAGCCACCGCCGCAGCAGCCGCCGCCGCAGCAGCCGCCGCCGCAUCCACAGCCGCAUCAGCAGCAGCAGCCGCCGCCACCGCCGCAGGACUCUUCCAAGCCCGUCGUUGCUCAGGGACCCGGCCCCGCUCCCGGAGUAGGCAGUGCGCCGCCAGCCUCCAGCUCGGCCCCGCCCGCCACUCCACCAACCUCGGGGGCCCCGCCAGGGUCCGGGCCAGGCCCGACUCCGACCCCGCCGCCUGCAGUCACCUCGGCCCCUCCCGGGGCGCCGCCACCCACCCCGCCAAGCAGCGGGGUCCCUACCACACCUCCUCAGGCCGGAGGCCCGCCGCCUCCGCCGGCGGCAGUCCCGGGCCCGGGUCCAGGGCCUAAGCAGGGCCCAGGUCCGGGUGGUCCCAAAGGCGGCAAAAUGCCUGGCGGGCCGAAGCCAGGUGGCGGCCCGGGCCUAAGCACUCCUGGCGGCCACCCCAAGCCGCCGCAUCGAGGCGGCGGGGAGCCCCGCGGGGGCCGCCAGCACCACCCGCCCUACCACCAGCAGCAUCACCAGGGGCCCCCGCCCGGCGGGCCCGGCGGCCGCAGCGAGGAGAAGAUCUCGGACUCGGAGGGGUUUAAAGCCAAUUUGUCUCUCUUGAGGAGGCCUGGAGAGAAAACUUACACACAGCGAUGUCGGUUGUUUGUUGGGAAUCUACCUGCUGAUAUCACGGAGGAUGAAUUCAAAAGACUGUUUGCUAAAUAUGGAGAACCAGGAGAAGUUUUUAUCAACAAAGGCAAAGGAUUCGGAUUUAUUAAGCUUGAAUCUAGAGCUUUGGCUGAAAUUGCCAAAGCCGAACUCGAUGAUACACCCAUGAGAGGUAGACAGCUUCGAGUUCGCUUUGCCACACAUGCUGCUGCCCUUUCUGUUCGUAAUCUUUCACCUUAUGUUUCCAAUGAACUGUUGGAAGAAGCCUUUAGCCAAUUUGGUCCUAUUGAAAGGGCUGUUGUAAUAGUGGACGAUCGUGGAAGAUCUACAGGGAAAGGCAUUGUUGAAUUUGCUUCUAAGCCAGCAGCAAGAAAGGCAUUUGAACGAUGCAGUGAAGGUGUUUUCUUACUGACGACAACUCCUCGUCCAGUCAUUGUGGAACCACUUGAACAACUAGACGAUGAAGAUGGUCUUCCUGAAAAACUUGCCCAGAAGAAUCCAAUGUAUCAAAAGGAGAGAGAAACCCCUCCUCGUUUUGCCCAGCAUGGCACAUUUGAGUACGAAUAUUCUCAGCGAUGGAAGUCUUUGGAUGAAAUGGAAAAACAGCAAAGGGAACAAGUUGAAAAAAACAUGAAAGAUGCAAAAGACAAAUUGGAAAGUGAAAUGGAAGAUGCCUAUCAUGAACAUCAGGCAAAUCUUUUGCGCCAAGAUCUGAUGAGACGACAGGAAGAAUUAAGACGCAUGGAAGAACUUCACAAUCAAGAAAUGCAGAAACGUAAAGAAAUGCAAUUGAGGCAAGAGGAGGAACGACGUAGAAGAGAGGAAGAGAUGAUGAUUCGUCAACGUGAGAUGGAAGAACAAAUGAGGCGCCAAAGAGAGGAAAGUUACAGCCGAAUGGGCUACAUGGAUCCAAGGGAAAGAGACAUGCGAAUGGGUGGCGGAGGAGCAAUGAACAUGGGAGAUCCCUAUGGUUCAGGAGGCCAGAAAUUUCCACCUCUAGGUGGUGGUGGUGGCAUAGGUUAUGAAGCUAAUCCUGGCGUUCCACCAGCAACCAUGAGUGGUUCCAUGAUGGGAAGUGACAUGCGUACUGAGCGCUUUGGGCAGGGAGGUGCGGGGCCUGUGGGUGGACAGGGUCCUAGAGGAAUGGGGCCUGGAACUCCAGCAGGAUAUGGUAGAGGGAGAGAAGAGUACGAAGGCCCAAACAAAAAACCCCGAUUUUAGAUGUGAUAUUUAGGUUUUCAUUCCAGUUUGUUUUGUUUUUUGUUUAGAUACCAAUCUUUUACAUUCUUGCAUUUUAGUAAGAAAGCUAUCUUUUUAUGGAUGUUAGCAGUUUAUUGACCUAAUAUUUGUAAAUGGUCUGUUUGGGCAGGUAAAAUUAUGUAAUGCAGUGUUUGAAACAGGAGAAUUUUUUUUUUCCUUUUUAUUUCUUUUUUUUUUCUUUUUUACUGUAUAAUGUCCCUCAAGUUAUGGCAGUGUACCUUGUGCCACUGAAUUUCCAAAGUGUACCAAUUUUUUUUUUUUUUUUUUUUUUACUGUGCUUCAAAUAAAUAGAAAAAUAGUUAUAAUAUUGAUCUUCAACUUUGCCAUUCAUGCUUCUAUGCACAUUAGGCUAGGUGUUCCACACUGAAAGCAUGAGAGUGUCUAGGCCUUUGAAUGGCAUAUGCCAUUUCUGGGAAAUGUAUCUGGAGGCUAAGUAUUGCUUUCUACAAAUAACUGCCCCCUUUGUUUUAAAAAGAAGAAAUGCAUAUUGAAGUAGUUUCAUGAUUUGUUUGGCAUAUAGGAAGCACGCUGGUGCUAAGUAUUUCUUAAAUGGUUAUGUAAGCAAAGCUGAACUGUAAAUCUUCAUUCAGGAAUAUGUAUUAAGAUUGUGGAAUGGGUGUAAGACAAUUGGUAGGGGGUGAAAGUGGGUUUGAUUAAAUGGAUCUUUUAUGGCCCUAUGAUCUAUCCUUUACUUUUGAAAGCUUUUGAAAAGUGGAAAGAUCAUUUUGUUGCAUUUCCCCAUUUCUUGUUUUUAAAAGACCAACAAAUCUCAAGCCCUAUAAAUGGCUUGUAUUGAACUUUUACAUUUGAAUUAAAGAUUGUUAAACAUGAAGCCUUUUCAUGUAUUCAAGUGAUUUAUAAAGAUGGGGUGUAGUCUAAAAAACAAAACAUGAAAGAAAGAAGGUUUAGUAACUGGGCCGGGCGUGGUGGCUCACGCCUGUAAUCCCAGCACUUUGGGAGGCUGAGGUGGGCAAAUCAUGAGAACUGGAGUUCAAGACCAGCCUGGCCAACAUGGUGAAACCCUGUCUCUACUAAAAAUACAAAAAAUUAGCUGGGAGUGGUGGCAGGCGCCUGUAAUCCCAGCUACUCGGGAGGCUGAGCCAGGAGAAUUGCUUGAACCUGGAGGUGGAGGUUGCAAUGAGCUGAGACUGUGCCACUGCACUCCAGCCUGGGCAACAGAGCGAGACUCUCUCAAAAAAAAAAAAAAAAAAAAAAAAGGUUUAGUAACUGAAGUAGGUUUAGUUAUAUAUACAUUUGUACUCUGUAACUUUUACAUCUCCUUGUGCUACUUCUGUUGGGCAAAAUCUAUAGGACUAUAAAAAUAUUGGUUCUCUUCUAAGAGCUAGUGGUGACUGUUAACAAAUAGGGUUGCAGAUAAUCAUUCUUAUUGUAAAUUUGUUAACUUGUUUUUACAUAGUUUCGUUUAUCAUGUAGCACUAAAUCUGGAGAAAGUUGCUCAUGCUACACAGUACAAAUAUCCCUUUCUCCCACCAUAAAGGCUUGGAAUGUUUCCAUGGUGUUGUCAGUUAAUUGUCAACUUCAUUGAACCCCCUUCCAUUAGAACAAGAGACUUUGACUAUUAAAGUAGAUUGUUUAUUGUUGCCUGUUAGUAUAAUGGGAGCCUGAUUUCCCAGUGUAAAUAUGUUAGAGGAACAGCUUCCUAACAGUAGGUAAAGUAAUUGAAUGGUUUGGCUUUGUUCUUAGUUAUGUUCCAUUCAAAUCUGUACAUUAUAGAACUCUUACUAUGGAAUGUGUCUUCCUCCUUUUCACCUCUGUUCUUGGUGCUAAUUGGCAAAAGAAAAAUUCUAAGUCAAACCUUUAUUAACAUGCUGAAGUUUAGUAUUGUGCCUGUGUACAAAAGGAGACCUAUUGUUGGAACAAUCUGAGCACUUUCUGCAUAGGAAACAGGAUAAUGCUGAAAGUAAACACUAGUGUAUAAAAGCAUCUCACCAAAUUAUGGUUGUAUGACUGACAGGUACGUGGUGUGCUAAAGGAGAGACUCUCAUUAGAAAAUGCUCAUUAUAUCAUUCACCAGCACACUCGGAAAUAUGAGUAGUUUUACCAUGAUUAUAUCAACGAGGAAGUUUUGUCCCAAAACAGGUUAUUAAUUGGUGAUACAUAAGAGGUUUUCUGUACGGAAACAAGGGUCUUGAUUAGAAAGGAAUCCAUUGCAGUUUGGUUGAAUUAUAUAGUAGGGACUACUAAAGACAAGAAAAUAAGGGGUGUUCAUGAGACACCCACAGAGGGUGAACUUUGAAUGUGUGUGGGUGGGGGCUGGUCGGGAAAUGGGAAAAUCUGCCUAUAAAAUUAAUGUUUCAGUUUAUUUUUCAGAUUACAUGCCUUUCUUUAUAAGGGAUGCUGGCACAGACCCCCUAAAAUAAGCUUUUGGUAGUACUGUACCUUUGAAGAGUGGUGAAGGAUGCUAAUGGAUAAUCUCCUGAAAGUUGUGGCUUUUGAUACCCUUACUGUGGACUGUAGAGUUGCUAAACGUUGUUUAGCAAAUAAUGUUGCUUAGUUUCAAAUGACAUUUGACUUUCAUCACUGAAACAGCAAUGUACCCAGGGUUGUAAGCUUACUCAAAUAGACUUUCAAUAAGUCUUCAAUGUAUAUAUGAUAGUUUUUAGCCUAAUGUGAAUUUAAAUAAUCUUAAUAGUUUCCUAAAAGUCGAUCUGAAACUUGGGGUGGGAAAGGGGAGGUAGCAAUUUUGAAGUAUUUUAGCCAUUUUUCUCAUUUAAAGAAACCACUUGUCCCCAUUUCCUCUUCUCCACUUUCUCAUAAUUUUGUUUUAAGAGGAACACUGGUUGUUUUUUAUACUUCUCCUAAUCUUUAAAAACUGCAUACUGUUAAGACCCCAGUGUAUUUAAUAGGUAUUUUAUAAGCAUAGCCCAUUGGCUCAUGUUAGUGAAACCAUAAUCCUCUUUGCUUAGAACAUUAAUUAAACUCCUAAGAAGUACUACAAACCCCACCACUCUUUAUAGAUGUAUUGUACCACUAAUAUAAACAGCUAAAAAAUGGGGAAAUUGUAACGUUACGCCUGUGCAAUUUUUAAGUGGCAUAUUAUGGCAGAUUAAAAUUUAGAUACUUGGCUUUUCUUGGGCAAGCCACUAAGUUGUGGCGGAAUGUUUUCUGGUGUUCUUGGACUGCAAUUAUGCACUAUUAAAGUAGUGGCCUGCUACAUAACUGCAUUUAGCCAGCAUUUCUGCAGUGCGUAACUGUGAGGAACGUAGUACCGCAAAUGGCAAUGGACAUUAGGACCCGGAUGUAGUAUUCCUGCUUGCUCCAAGAUUCUCAUUGCCGACUGCAUACAGGUAAGAAUGAUUGAUGUUGGCUGAUGUUGGAGUGCUCGUUCACAUGAAGUGGAUAGAUACUUCUCAAGACAUCACACAGCGUGAGUCAAUCAGGGAGGGAAGCCACAAGCAGACUGACAACGUUUCUAGCAGGAUCAGGUGAGCUGUGUCCAGAAAACCAACGAGAAGGAGUGGAAGGAGGAAUGAACGUUUCGUUCUCGUUAAUAAAGGCAUUAUCCUAAUUA